UUUGGAAUAUUGCACAAUGGGGGAAACCCUGAUGCAGCGACGCCGCGUGGAGGACGAAGGAUCUAGGUCUGUAAACUCCUUUUGCCAGGAAAGACUUAGGACGGUACCUGGCGAAUAAGCCCCGGCUAACUACGUGCCAGCAGCCGCGGUAAGACGUAGGGGGCGAGCGUUGUCCGGAUUUACUGGGCGUAAAGAGCGCGUAGGCGGCUAGUUAAGUGAGAAGUGAAAUCUCCAGGGCUCAACCCGGAAACUGCUUUUCAUACUGGCCAGCUGGAGGGACGCAGGGGUGACUGGAAUUCCCGGUGUAGCGGUGAAAUGCAUUGAUAUCGGGAGGAACUCCAACAGCGAAGGCAGGUCACUGGGCGUUUCCUGACGCUGAGGCGCGAAAGCGUGGGUAGCAAA
rnacentral:rRNA from 1 species